AGCAGCCGCGGUAAUUCCAGCUCCAAUAGCGUAUAUUAAAGUUGCUGCAGUUAAAAAGCUCGUAGUUGAAUUUCGGGACCAAUAUGUCGGUCGUGCUUCGGUACGUACUGUCAUAAUUGGUUUCUCCCUUCUGAAGAACCUUGAUGUCAUUAAUUUGGUGUCUUGGGGAAUCAGGACUGUUACUUUGAAAAAAUUAGAGUGUUUAAAGCAGGCUCGCGCUUGAAUACAUUAGCAUGGAAUAAUGAAAUAGGACGUUUGAUUCUAUUUUGUUGGUUUCUAGGAUCGACGUAAUGAUUAAUAGGGAUAGUUGGGGGCAUUAGUAUUCAAUUGUCAGAGGUGAAAUUCUUAGAUUUAUUGAAGACUAACUACUGCGAAAGCAUUUGCCAAGGAUGUUUUCAUUAAUCAAGAACGAAAGUUAGGGAUCGAAGACGAUCAGAUACCGUCGUAGUCUUAACCAUAAACUAUGCCGACUAGGGAUCGGAUGAUGUUAAUUUUUAAUGACUCAUUCGGCGCCUUAAC
rnacentral:rRNA from 1 species